AGGAGCGACGGCCGGUCUACGCACGACCACAACCACCACAACCACUUGGUCAGGAGGGGCGCUCAACGGGUCGUCGGCGCCGCGCUGUGGUUGUGGCGCCGCCAUGGCUUAAUCAAUCGGCCGGCGCGAUGUAUGCUGGAGAUUAUCAAAUUGAAUCAAGGGAGAAAACCAACAGCAAGGAAGUGCGAGAUUUGGGGCGGCCGUCUGCCUAGUAUAUGUACUGUCGAUACUAGCGGGCCGAUCGUCCCGUCUGAGAAGACCGCAUCUGACUCGCUCGUCUGCGUGCAAGGAACCCAAAAACUGAACCGAGCUUACUAAAAAUCCUGCAAAAUCAAUCGCCUGCAGGAACUGUCCAUGUAAAGCUAGCUAGGAACUUUCCAUGUAAUAAAGCCAGGAACUGUGCAUGUAUUUAGAAUCAAAACCCAUAUCGCCAAUUCUCUUCCGCGCCCGCGCAUUUUCUGGCUCCGUGCGGUGCUCACUUCGGUGACAACGAACCUUAUCCAGUCAGUCGUUAUCUCACCAAGCGCACUCCCUCCUUCCUUUCUCUCCUGCCGGCUGCCGCGCACCUUGCGCCCCCGCUCCUCCCGAGCCCCUCCCCUUCCUCUUCUCUCCUGCCCUUCACCCCUCCCCUCUCCCCCCAACCCGCCUAGAUCUCGAGCGCCGGCGGCAGGGGGCCUGGUCCGCUCGUCGGUGCGCCCCCCGAGAGCUCGAGUACCGCCGGCCUGGUCCGCUCGUUGGCGUGGCCGCGCGCCGCCGGCUGGUCCUCUCUUCGGCCGCGGCACGGAGACGCUCAGAGCUCGAGCUCCUCUGGCGGCGGCAUGGUCCGCUCGUCGGCGCGGCCGCGGUGGAAGCAGCAGGGGCUGGCCCUGUACUCGUGACCAGUCUCUACCAACGGGAGCGCCGGGUCCCCGUCCAGCUGCAGCGAGCAGCACAACCCCGCCUUCAUCGUUGUGGGGGCGAUCCCCGAAGCGGCGACGGCAUCCACGACCGCCAGCGAGGACACCUUGUUCCGUCUCAACAACCUCGACAUCAACGACGACGACGCCCCUUAGUCACAGGCUCCGCAAAAGGCCCCUUCUUAUUGAUGAUCUGAGAUGAUUGUUGCAUCGUUAACAAGAAGGGGAAUAAUGCUAGGGAGGAGGAGAAUCAGCCCACGAACUAGGAUUAGAAAAGUUUGCAAGUCUCGCGACUUCAUGAGCCACCUUACUUGCCUCCCGAUUGCAAUGUUCAAAAGACACCUUCACGAAAUCUGCCAUGAGGUGAAACCAAUCCUUGAAAAUGUCUGCACAGCUGCUGUAACUCCUUUCUUCAUUGCACAAAGUGUUAAUGACCUGACUAUCAUUAGAGUUCAAGACCACCCUACUGCAGCCCAGAUUGAUCGCAAGCUGAAGCCCCAGUUUAGCCGCACACACCUCUGCCAUAUCUAAGUUGCUUUUUCAACGAAAGAAGAUUUUGGAGAUUGCAGUUGGUGUUGGUCACGUGUAUGCUGAUCCCUAGAGUUUUUGGUGUUUUUUCUGCUAAUCUGCUGCUCUGUAGUGUCGUCUACUAGUCUAUGAUGAGAUGAUCGAUGCUUUGUUAUUCUCACUACUAUGAAUCAUUAUUUUUUCGGAUGUAAAUUUUAGGUAAAGAGUUACUUUUAGAUUCUGCUGGUGUAGCUUCUACGUGAGUUACUUUUAGAUUCUUGUUGAAUGUA